rnacentral:rRNA from 1 species
ACGGAAGGCAGCAGUAGGGGAUAUUGCACAAUGGGGGAAACCCUGAUGCAGCAACGCCACGUGUGGGAAGAAGCAUUUCGGUGUGUAAACCACUGUCGUGAGAGAAUAAAGCUGGAGUUGUCCAGUUGAAUGUACCUCGAAAGGAAGCACCGGCAAACUUCGUGCCAGCAGCCGCGGUAAUACGAGGGGUGCAAGCGUUGUUCGGAAUCACUGGGCGUAAAGGGAGCGCAGGCGGAAGUGCAAGCGGUCUGUACAGUACCGGGGCCCAACCCCGGACCUGCAGACCUGACUGCAUUUCUUGGAUAGUUCAGGGGCAAGCGGAAUUCCUGGUGUAGCGGUGGAAUGCGUAGAGAUCAGGAAGAACACCGAUGGCGAAGGCAGCUUGCCGGGGACUUAUCGACGCUCAUGCUCGAAAGUGCGGGUAGCAAACAGGAUUAGAUACCCUGGUA